UACGUAGGUGGCAAGCGUUGUCCGGAUUUACUGGGCGUAAAGAGCGCGCAGGCGGUCGUUCAAGUCGCGUGUGAAAGCCCCCGGCUCAACUGGGGAGGGUCACGCGAUACUGAUCGACUCGAAGGCAGGAGAGGGUAGUGGAAUUCCCGGUGUAGUGGUGAAAUGCGUAGAUAUCGGGAGGAACACCAGUGGCGAAGGCGACUACCUGGCCUGUUCUUGACACUGAGGCGCGAAAGCUAGGGGAGCAAACGGG
rnacentral:rRNA from 1 species